rnacentral:snoRNA from 1 species
GUAAAUGAUGAUUCUACCACAUUUUCACGACGGUCUACUGUGUUUUGGGACUGUUAAUCCCUAAACCUUGAUGACAAAUUUGGCCUUGACCGGCCGUGGUUCCUGAAA